AGCUUUGCACAGUGGCAGUAUCAUGGCCAAUGAGGUCUAUCUGAGGCGCAAUUAUUGCUAAUUGAAAACUUAUCCCAAUACCCCGCCAUGACGACUGGAGAUAUAGUUCGCAUUGGCAAUUUUUGGCAGUCUCUACGGGGA
rnacentral:snRNA from 1 species